GACCUCGGAUCAGGUAGGGAUACCCGCUGAACUUAAGCAUAUCAAUAAGCGGAGGAAAAGAAACCAACAGGGAUUGCCCUAGUAACGGCGAGUGAAGCGGCAACAGCUCAAAUUUGAAAUCUGGCUCUCUUUGGGGGUCCGAGUUGUAAUUUGCAGAGGAUGCUUUGGCAUUGGCGGCGGUCUAAGUUCCUUGGAACAGGACAUCGCAGAGGGUGAGAAUCCCGUACGUGGGCGCCUGCCUUUGCCGUGUAAAGCUCCUUCGACGAGUCGAGUUGUUUGGGAAUGCAGCUCUAAAUGGGAGGUAAAUUUCUUCUAAAGCUAAAUACCGGCCAGAGACCGAUAGCGCACAAGUAGAGUGAUCGAAAGAUGAAAAGUACUUUGGAAAGAGAGUCAAAAAGCACGUGAAAUUGUUGAAAGGGAAGCGCUUGCAGCCAGACUUGCCCGCAGUUGCUCACCUAGGCUUUGGCCUGGGGCACUCUUCUGCGGGCAGGCCAGCAUCAGUUUGGGCGGUCGGACAAAGGCCUCUGUCAAGUAUCUCCCUUCGGGGUGACCUUAUAGGGGAGGCGUAAUGCGACCAGCCCGGACUGAGGUCCGCGCAUCUGCUAGGAUGCUGGCGUAAUGGCUGAA
rnacentral:rRNA from 1 species